UUUAAGUGGAGUCCAGAACCCACGCUUAAAAAAACGGGGAGCAACUGAAAAUCCAUAAGAGUAGGGGAAUU
rfam:Lutibacter agarilyticus strain DSM 29150 genome assembly, contig: Ga0170404_106